rnacentral:lncRNA from 1 species
CCUGUGUUUACUUUAUAUACUUCAACUUUGCCUAAACUGUGGAUGCAAAAGAUGAAAAUUUGAUUCAUAUAUAUGUCGCAAAAAAUAUAAGUCUGAAUAACAUUUAUGCCUCCAAGUUUCACCUUAUCAAAAAGAUAAGGCCAUAUCUAGUAAAAUCAAAUUAUAAACCACACAUCAUAUCACAUACCAGGACUUAGCUGCAAGAUUUCCAAAACUAGAGUUAGCAGAGAGAGUGGAGGUAAACAGCAGAACUAAGUAUUCUGUUUAAGGAUUGUUCAUUAACAUUUUACUGUGAAGGAGUGGGUAUAUUACUGGUUGGGGAUGAGGUGGGUAUAUCUGGAAGUCAUAACGGGGAGUUCCUGGUAAAAGUGAUGUUCAUGUAGGGUCCCUAGUGCCAGUAAUCCAAGGAGAUCUUCUAUCUGCUUCCACUUGAUUAAUU